AUGACAAGCACCCAGCGCAUCGAGAGUUCUAAUCACCUGCUGAAAGGAUAUGUGUCACCAGGAUGUCCAAUGCAUCUAUUCCUCUGGAAGUACGAGAAGCUCCAGUUCGACAGGGAAUCUGAGGAAAGCUUCCAGGAGAAGCGCACUACUCUGAGUGGUGUUCCUUUGAGGCUAAACAUACCAAUUGAGAGGCACGCAAGUAAAAUCUACACAAGAUCAAUGUUUGAACAAUUCAGUGAGGCACUGUACAAGUCUUUUGCACAUCAGGUUGAUGUUAUAGAACAUCGAAAGGUUUACAAGGUAACGCAUCUCGAUGCGGCAGCUCGGGAGAAAUGGAGCAAAAUUGUUUUUAUUGUCAAUGUGGAUGAUGAGGCGAGGUUCUUUGAUUGUGAGUGUGGCACGUUUGAGCAUUCUGGAAUGGUUUGUUGCCAUUCUCUGAAGGUGAUGAUUGAGUUUCGUUUGCCAAAAAUACCAGAUAAACACGUUGUUAAGAGAUGGACAAGGGAUGCUAGGGAUAUAUUGCUUGAUCACUUAGUGCGGUACCAGAAAGACAGAGGCCCACCAGCGUCCGACACUUUUAGGCACAGCCAAAUGUGGAUCAGGGCCCUGGAGUGUGUGCGCCUUAGCGACAUCAAUGUGAAGUGUUAUGAUGUGUUCAUGGCAAUGAUGAAGGAGGUAUAUGCCACGUUGCUGCCACUUAGCCAUGACAAGGAUGGCAUGGGGCUGGAAGAGAGAGAUGGUGUAGCUAAGAUGGCAAGUGGCACAGCUUGUUCCGAUACAGUUGAACAUGUGAAAGCUUUGGUUGAAGACUGUGGAGAUCAAUCAUAUUGUUCCGGCAUUGCAGCUGCUAAUUGCAAGCGGGCAUCAGGAAGACCUACUACAAGCAGAGAUAAAGCGCCUUGUGAAGAGAAAAUGAAGAGGUCUCGAUUCUGCAAGAUUUGCCGUAAGGAGGGACAGAAAUGCACCACUUGCCCUGAUCGCAGCGACAUUCCAAAGGCUCCAAGGAAGGAGCCAAAGUUUACCAAAUGUGGAGUAAUCGGACACCGUAGGAAUGUAUGCGGCAAACCUACUGAUCCAUUCGAGCCAAACUUCCUCUAG
rnacentral:rRNA from 1 species